AAGCCGACUUUUGCACCUCCCGGAGGAGCACGCCCUCCGGCCCCGGGCCCCGGCUCGUCGGUAGCCUCCCGGGACCACGGGGACGGCUCCACCCCAGGGCAGCCGCGUCCAGCUGGCCCUGGGCCUUGACGGGUGCUGCGGGGAAAAGGUUCUUGAGAGAUGCUGCGGCCCGGUAGAGAGAUUUAGCUCCACUUUUCACAGCUGGAGGCUUUUGUUAUUAGAGAUGCGGCUCCAUUUUUAAAACUAAUUGUUGCCACAGAUAGGCGACUACAUCUCUGGAAGCAGCAGCUCCAUGCUGGAUGUGGUGGAAGAAUCGAGAGGGAAUGGACUGGAAGUUUGGAAUCACCGGAAAAUAACAAGGCAUAGCUAAGCUGUGACUAGCAAGAUAAACGAUUUGUUCGAGGUUUGAUUGUCCUUUCCCUCCUCCACUCGGAAGACAUAGUUGUCUUUUUUUAAAUCAUGUUUUGUACCGAAAUAUUUUUAUUUUAUAAUUGAAUCCCUGUUGUUGGGCCUUUAAAAACCCAUAGAAACAUUGUUAUGUGCCACGAAGGUGGGAAACACGGCUUUCUCAGUCAUUGCUGUACUCCCACAAUUCUGGGUCAUGCACACAAUACAGGUUUAGUAAAUAAAAUCCGUAUGUUUUUGGCCCCA